GGCAUAGGUGAUUCAUGAGUAGGCAGGGGAAAUGAGCUGGAAAGCUCUGCCGGAGCGGGUGACAGCCCCGUACCUGAAACCGAAAGCGACACAGCCGGUACCUGAGUACCGCGAGACACGUGGAACCUCGUGGGAAUCCGGGAGGACCAUCUUCCAAGGCUAAGUACUAACCGACGACCGAUAGUGUACCAGUACCGUGAGGGAAAGGUGAAAAGAACCUCUGUCAGAGGAGUGAAAGAGAAUCUGAAACCUGGUGCUUACAAGCUGUGAGAGCGGACUUGUUCCGUGAUCACGUGCCUUUUGCAUAAUGAGUCAGCGAGUUAAUCUGUACUGCAAGGUUAAGCGUGAGUGGAGCCGUAGGGAAACCGAGUCUGACAAGGGCGACGAGUAGUGCGGAUUAGACCCGAAACCGGGUGAUCUAUCCAUGAGCAGGUUGAAGCAAGGGUAAAACCUUGUGGAGGACCGAACCAAUACCGGCUGAAAACGGUUUGGAUGACUUGUGGAUAGGGGUGAAAGGCCAAUCAAACCCGGUGAUAGCUGGUUCUCCCCGAAAUAUAUUGAGGUAUAGCCUCAUGGAUUGUCUGCCGGAGGUAAAGCACUGACAGGGCUAGGGGUCCUACCAGAUUACCAAACCCUAUCAAACUCAGAAUGCCGGUCAGAUGUACCAUGGGAGUCAGACGGCGGGUGCUAAGGUCCGUCGUCGAGAGGGUAAGAGCCCAGAUCAACAGCUAAGGUCUCCAAAUCCAUGCUCAGUGGUUAAGGUGGUGACGUUGUAGAGACACCCAGGACGUUGGCUUAGAAGCAGCCAUCGUUUAAAGAAAGCGUAAUAGCUCACUGGUCUAAUGACGUUGCGCCGAAAAUGUAACGGGGCUAAGCAUGGUACCGAAGCUUUGAAUUCCGCGUAAGCGGUCUGGUAGGGGAGCGUUCUUCACGGGCAGAAGGUGUGUCGCAAGGCAUGCUGGACUGUGGAGAAGUGAUUAUGCUGACAUGAGUAACGAUAAAACGGGUGAAAAACCCGUUCGCCGUAAACCCAAGGUUUUCCGGGUAAAGGUAAUCUUCCCGGAGUUAGUCGGCCCCUAAGGCGAGGCUGAAAGGCGUAGCUGAUGGGAAACGUGUUAAUAUUCACGUACUUGUGUGUUCGCGCGAUGAAGGGACGCAGGAAGAUAGGCAAGCCGGGCGCUGGUUGUCCCGGUGCAAGCGUGUAGGGAUGAGGAGCUGGCAAAUCCGCUUCUCUCUAUCCUGAGACGCGAGUCCGUGCCCGCAAGGGCUGAAGUUGUCGAGUCUAUGCUGCCUAGAAAAGCUUCUAAGUAUAGGACACGCAAACCGUACCGGAAACCAACUCAGGUGGGUGGGAUGAAAAUCCAAGGCGCUCGAGAGAACUCUGGCCAAGGAACUCGGCAAAAUAACCCCGUACCUUCGGAAGAAGGGGUGCUUUUUAGGGUGAAGCGAUUCACUCUGUCGAGCCCUGAAAAGCCGCAGAGAAAUGGUGGUGGCGACUGUUUACUAAAAACAUAGGUCUGUGCCAAGUCGUAUAGACGACGUAUACGGACUGACGCCUGCCCGGUGCUGGAAGGUUAAAAGGAGGAGUCAGCGCAAGCGAAGCUCCGAAUUGAAGCCCCAGUAAACGGCGGCCGUAACUAUAACGGUCCUAAGGUAGCGAAAUUCCUUGUCGGGUAAGUUCCGACCUGCACGAAUGGCGUAACGAUCUCCACACUGUCUCGGCCAGAGACUCGGUGAAAUUGAAGUCGCGGUGAAAAUGCCGUGUACCCGCAGAAAGACGGAAAGACCCUGUGCACCUUUACUAUAGCUUGACAUUGGGAUUUGAGCCUGCAUGUGUAGCAUAGGUGGGAGCCUGAGAACCCUGUACGCCAGUAUGGGGGGAGGCAACGUUGAAAUACCACCCUUGUUUGUUCAGGUCCCUAACUCCUUGCCGUUAUCCGGUAGGAGGACAGUGUCUGGUGGGUAGUUUGACUGGGGCGGUCGCCUCCCAAAAUGUAACGGAGGCAUGCAAAGGUUCCCUCAGGCUGAUUGGAAACCAGCCGUCGAGUGCAAACGCAGAAGGGAGCUUGACUGCAAGAGAGACAUCUCGAGCAGGUACGAAAGUAGGUGUUAGUGAUCCGGUGAUCCCGAAUGGAAGGGUCAUCGCUCAUUGGAUAAAAGGUACGCCGGGGAUAACAGG
rnacentral:rRNA from 1 species